GACGAACGCUGGCGGCGUGCCUAAUACAUGCAAGUAGAACGCUGAAGGAGGAGCUUGCUUCUCUGGAUGAGUUGCGAACGGGUGAGUAACGCGUAGGUAACCUGCCUGGUAGCGGGGGAUAACUAUUGGAAACGAUAGCUAAUACCGCAUAAGAGUAGAUGUCGCAUGACAUUUGCUUGAAAGGUGCAAUUGCAUCACUACUAGAUGGACCUGCGUUGUAUUAGCUAGUUGGUGAGGUAACGGCUCACCAAGGCAACGAUACAUAGCCGACCUGAGGGGGUGAUCGGCCACACUGGGACUGAGACACGGCCCAGACUCCUACGGGAGGCAGCAGUAGGGAAUCUUCGGCAAUGGACGGAAGUCUGACCGAGCAACGCCGCGUGAGUGAAGAAGGUUUUCGGAUCGUAAAGCUCUGUUGUAAGAGAAGAACGAGUGUGAGAGUGGAAAGUUCACACUGUGACGGUAUCUUACCAGAAAGGGACGGCUAACUACGUGCCAGCAGCCGCGGUAAUACGUAGGUCCCGAGCGUUGUCCGGAUUUAUUGGGCGUAAAGCGAGCGCAGGCGGUUAGAUAAGUCUGAAGUUAAAGGCUGUGGCUUAACCAUAGUACGCUUUGGAAACUGUUUAACUUGAGUGCAAGAGGGGAGAGUGGAAUUCCAUGUGUAGCGGUGAAAUGCGUAGAUAUAUGGAGGAACACCGGUGGCGAAAGCGGCUCUCUGGCUUGUAACUGACGCUGAGGCUCGAAAGCGUGGGGAGCAAACAGG
rnacentral:rRNA from 1 species